UACGAAGGGGGCUAGCGUUGCUCGGAAUCACUGGGCGUAAAGGGCGCGUAGGCGGCGUUUUAAGUCGGGGGUGAAAGCCUGUGGCUCAACCACAGAAUGGCCUUCGAUACUGGGACGCUUGAGUAUGGUAGAGGUUGGUGGAACUGCGAGUGUAGAGGUGAAAUUCGUAGAUAUUGGGAAGAACACCGGUGGCGAAGGCGGCGACCUGGUCCUUGACUGACGCUGAGGCGCGAAAGCGUGGGGAGCAAACAGG
rnacentral:rRNA from 1 species